UUGAUAGGAGGGAUGAUCACCUGUGACCCCUGAAUCAGUGGACCUAUCAGGCAAUGGUUCACGAAUUGAUUGGUAUUCAAGACAACAAAGUCGACUUACGAAACAUUGGAAAAUUUCCAAAGGAUCAACAGGAGGUUGUGCUGUCAUCAGAACAAGAUGCUUUUUUCAAAAA